CUUCGGAUCGUAAAGCUCUGUUGUUAGGGAAGAACAAGUAUCGUUCGAAUAGGGCGGUACCUUGACGGUACCUAACCAGAAAGCCACGGCUAACUACGUGCCAGCAGCCGCGGUAAUACGUAGGUGGCAAGCGUUAUCCGGAAUUAUUGGGCGUAAAGCGCGCGCAGGCGGUCCUUUAAGUCUGAUGUGAAAGCCCACGGCUCAACCGUGGAGGGUCAUUGGAAACUGGGGGACUUGAGUGCAGAAGAGGAGAGCGGAAUUCCACGUGUAGCGGUGAAAUGCGUAGAGAUGUGGAGGAACACCAGUGGCGAAGGCGGCUCUCUGGUCUGUAACUGACGCUGAGGCGCGAAAGCGUGGGGAGCGAACAGGAUUAGAUACCCUGGUAGUCCACGCCGUAAACGAUGAGUGCUAAGUGUUAGAGGGUUUCCGCCCUUUAGUGCUGCAGCAAACGCAUUAAGCACUCCGCCUGGGGAGUACGGUCGCAAGACUGAAACUCAAAGGAAUUGACGGGGGCCCGCACAAGCGGUGGAGCAUGUGGUUUAAUUCGAAGCAACGCGAAGAACCUUACCAGGUCUUGACAUCCUCUGACACUCCUAGAGAUAGGAUUUUCCCUUCGGGGACAGAGUGACAGGUGGUGCAUGGUUGUCGUCAGCUCGUGUCGUGAGAUGUUGGGUUAAGUCCCGCAACGAGCGCAACCCUUGAU
rnacentral:rRNA from 1 species